AUAUUGGUCAAUGGGCGAGAGCCUGAACCAGCCAAGUCGCGUGAAGGAUGAAGGAUCUAUGGUUUGUAAACUUCUUUUAUAUGGGAAUAAAGUUAGGAACGUGUUCCUUUUGUGAUGUACCAGAUGAAUAAGCAUAGGCUAACUCCGUGCCAGCAGCCGCGGUAAUACGGAGGAUGCGAGCGUUAUCCGUAUUUAUUGGGUUUAAAGGGUGCGUAGGUGGUUAAUUAAGUCAGCGGUGAAAGUUUGUGGCUCAACCAUAAAAUUGCCGUUGAAACUGGUUGACUUGAGUAUAUUUGAGGUAGGCGGAAUGCGCGGUGUAGCGGUGAAAUGCAUAGAUAUCACGCAGAACUCCGAUUGCGAAGGCAGCUUACUAAACUAUAACUGACACUGAAGCACGAAAGCGUGGGGAUCAA
rnacentral:rRNA from 1 species